rnacentral:rRNA from 1 species
UACAGAGACCUCAAACAUUGUCCGGAUUUAUUGGGCGUAAAGGGUCCGCAGGCGGUCAUGUGCGUCAUGAGUUAAAUCUCAGGGCUUAACCCUGGAACCGCUCGUGAUACGGCAUGACUAGAGGGUGGGAGAGGUGAGCGGAAUUCACGGUGUAGCAGUGAAAUGCGUAGAUAUCGUGAGGAACACCAGAGGCGAAGGCGGUUACCUGGACAGUUACUGACGCUCAGGCACGAAAGCAUGGGGAGCAAAAGGG